rnacentral:rRNA from 1 species
AUUGAACGCUGGCGGAAUGCUUUACACAUGCAAGUCGAACGGCAGCGCGGGUGCUUGCACCUGGCGGCGAGUGGCGAACGGGUGAGUAAUAUAUCGGAACGUGUCCAAUAAUGGGGGAUAACUAGUCGAAAGAUUAGCUAAUACCCCAUACGCCCCGAGGGGGAAAGCGGAGGAUCGUAAGACUUCGCCUUAAUGGAGCGGACGAAAUGGGAUUAGCUAGUUGGUAGGGGGAAAAGCCUACCAAGGCGACGAUCCGUAGCUGGUCUGAGAGGACGACCAGCCACACUGGAACUGAGACACGGUCCAGACUCCUACGGGAGGCGGCAGUGGGGAAUUUUGGACAAUGGGGGCAACCCUGAUCCAGCCAUUCCGCGUGAGUGAAGAAGGCCUUCGGGUUGUAAAGCUCUUUCGCAAGGGAAGAAAACUUAGGCUCUAACAUAGCCUGAGGCUGACGGUACCUUGAUAAGAAGCACCGGCUAACUACGUGCCAGCAGCCGCCGUAA